rnacentral:rRNA from 1 species
GAUGAACGCUGGCGGCGUGCCUAAUACAUGCAAGUCGAGCGAACAGACGAGGAGCUUGCUCCUCUGACGUUAGCGGCGGACGGGUGAGUAACACGUGGAUAACCUCCCUAUAAGACUGGGAUAACUUCGGGAAACCGGAGCUAAUACCGGAUAAUAUAUUGAACCGCAUGGUUCAAUAGUGAAAGACGGUUUUGCUGUCACUUAUAGAUGGAUCCGCGCCGCAUUAGCUAGUUGGUAAGGUAACGGCUUACCAAGGCAACGAUGCGUAGCCGGCCUGAGAGGGUGAUCGGCCACACUGGAACUGAGACACGGUCCAGACUCCUACGGGAGGCAGCAGUAGGGAAUCUUCCGCAAUGGGCGAAAGCCUGACGGAGCAACGCCGCGUGAGUGAUGAAGGUCUUCGGAUCGUAAAACUCUGUUAUUAGGGAAGAACAAAUGUAUAAGUAACUAUGCACGUCUUGACGGUACCUAAUCAGAAAGCCACGGCUAACUACGUG